UCCAGACUCCUACGGGAGGCAGCAGUGGGGAAUAUUGCGCAAUGGGCGAAAGCCUGACGCAGCGACGCCGCGUGAGGGAUGAAGGUCUUCGGAUCGUAAACCUCUGUCAGCAGGGAAGAACGGUCACUGUGCCAAUCAGCAGUGAAUUGACGGUACCUGCAAAGGAAGCACCGGCUAACUCCGUGCCAGCAGCCGCGGUAAUACGGAGGAUGCGAGCGUUAUCCGGAUUUAUUGGGUUUAAAGGGUGCGUAGGCGGAAUGCCAAGUCAGCGGUCAAAUCGUGGGGCUCAACCCCAUCCAGCCGUUGAAACUGGCGGGCUGGAGUUGGAGAGAAGUACGCGGAAUGCGCGGUGUAGCGGUGAAAUGCUUAGAUAUCGCGCAGAACCCCGAUUGCGAAGGCAGCGUACCGGCUCCACACUGACGCUGAGGCACGAAAGCGUGGGUAUCGAACAGGAUUAGAUACCCCGGUAA
rnacentral:rRNA from 1 species